rnacentral:lncRNA from 1 species
GUUGAUUCCUAAAUAAAAUAAAGUGCAACACAAAGUAAAAUUAAAGAACAAGUGGCUUUUGUGUACUUGUAUUCUUUUAUUUUGUUGAGGAAUUAACGGGAAUUGUUUGUGGUACAUAAGUACGGACGCCGGUUAGUUUGGGUGUAGUUAUAGAUUGUCAUUGAUCAUCUCAACGAGAUUGAUUUUCUCUCUUGCGCCGGGACGGCGAAAGCGAGAGAUGCAAUCGAGUUGAGAUGACCAAUGGUAAUCUGAUUAUCGCUAUUUUACCUAUGACGACGUUGUCAAUUUCAUGUCAAUUUUGUUAGCAACGCCACGUGCUUGCUUAGUUUCUAGCGAUAAUUUU